rnacentral:rRNA from 1 species
GAUGAACGCUGACAGAAUGCUUAACACAUGCAAGUCAACUUGAAUUUGGGUUUUUAACUUAGGUUUGGGUGGCGGACGGGUGAGUAACACGUAAAGAACUUGCCUCACAGCUAGGGACAACAUUUGGAAACGAAUGCUAAUACCUAAUAUUAUGAUAAUAGGGCAUCCUAUAAUUAUGAAAGCUAUAAGCGCUGUGAGAGAGCUUUGCGUCCCAUUAGCUAGUUGGAGAGGUAACGGCUCACCAAGGCGAUGAUGGGUAGCCGGCCUGAGAGGGUGAUCGGCCACAAGGGGACUGAGACACGGCCCUUACUCCUACGGGAGGCAGCAGUGGGGAAUAUUGGACAAUGGACCGAGGGUCUGAUCCAGCAAUUCUGUGUGCACGAUGAAGUUUUUCGGAAUGUAAAGUGCUUUCAGUUGGGAAGAAACAAAUGACGGUACCAACAGAAGAAGUGACGGCUAAAUACGUG